rnacentral:misc_RNA from 1 species
GAUGAAGAACGUAGCGAAAUGCGAUAAGUAAUGCGAAUUGCAGAAUUCAGUGAGUCAUCGAAUCUUUGAACGCACAUUGCGCCCUGUGGUAUUCCGCAGGGCAUGCCUGUUCGAGCGUCAUUUCAACCCUCAAGCUCUGCUUGGUGUUGGGCCCUGCCCGCUGCGGCCGGCCCUAACGACAGUGGCGGUGCCGCCUGGCCCUGAGCGUAGUACAUCUCUCGCUCCAGUGCCCGGUGGUAGCCUGCCAGAACCCCAACUCUCGUGGUUGACCUCGGAUCAGGUAGGGAUACCCGCUGAACUUAAGCAUAUCAAUAAGCGGAGGA